rnacentral:rRNA from 1 species
CCUACGGGAGGCAGCAGUGAGGAAUAUUGGUCAAUGGGCGCUAGCCUGAACCAGCCAAGUAGCGUGAAGGAUGACUGCCCUAUGGGUUGUAAACUUCUUUUAUAUGGGAAUAAAGUGCAGUAUGUAUACUGCUUUUCAUGUACCUUAUGAAUAAGGAUCGGCUAACUCCGUGCCAGCAGCCGCGGUAAUACGGAGGAUCCGAGCGUUAUCCGGAUUUCUUGGGUUUAAAGGGAGCGUAGGCGGGUUGUUAAGUCAGUUGUGAAAGUUUGCGGCUCAACCGUAAAAUUGCAGUUGAUACUGGGAGCCUUGAGUACAGUAGAGGUAGGCGGAAUUCGUGGUGUAGCGGUGAAAUGCUUAGAUAUCACGAAGAACUCCGAUUGCGAAGGCAGCUUGCUGGACUGUAACUGACGCUGAUGCUCGAAAGUGUGGGUAUCAAACAGGAUUAGAUACCCCAGUAGUC